rnacentral:tRNA from 1 species
GCCUGGGUGGCUCAGUCGGUGAAGCAUCUGACUUUGGCUCAGGUCAUGAUCUCACAGUUCGUGGGUUCCAGCCCCUCAUUGGGCU